rnacentral:rRNA from 1 species
AGGACGAACGCUGGCGGCGUGCUUAACACAUGCAAGUCGAGCGGAAAGGCCCUUCGGGGUACUCGAGCGGCGAACGGGUGAGUAACACGUGAGUAAUCUGCCCCUAGCUCUGGGAUAGCUCCGGGAAACCGGGAUUAAUACCGGAUACGACCACCUUAGACAUCUUUUGUGGUGGAAAGAAUUUCGGCUAGGGAUGAGCUCGCGGCCUAUCAGCUUGUUGGUGGGGUAACGCCUACCAAGGCGACGACGGGUAGCCGGCCUGAGAGGGCGACCGGCCACACUGGGACUGAGACACGGCCCAGACUCCUACGGGAGGCAGCAGUGGGAAUAUUGCGCAAUGGGCGAAAGGCCUGACGCAGCGACGCCGCGUGGGGGAUGAAGGCCUUCGGGUUGUAAACCCCUUUCAGCAGGGACGAAGCGAAAGUGACGGUACCUGCAGAAGAAGCGCCGGCUAACUACGCGCCAGCAGCCGC